AUUGAACGCUGGCGGCAGGCCUAACACAUGCAAGUCGAGCGAGCGGCGGACGGGUGAGUAAUGUAUGUGGACUGCACGAUAGAGGGGGAUAACGACAAGAAACGGUAGCUAUUAUCGCAUACUAUCGGAUAACCCAUAUGGGAUUGGCUCGUAGGUGAGGUAAUGGCGCACAUAGUCGACGAUCCCUAGCUGGUCUGAGAGGAUGAUCAGCCACACUGGAACUGAGACACGGCCCAGACUCCUACGGAGGCAGCAGUGGGGAAUAUUGCACAAUGGGCGCAAGCCUGAUGCAGCCAUGCCGCGUGUGUGAAGAAGGCCCUAGGGUUGUAAAGUACUUUCAGUGGGGAGGCGUUACCGACAGAAGAAGCACCGGCUAACUCCGUGCCAGCAGCCGCGGUAAUAC
rnacentral:rRNA from 1 species